rnacentral:tRNA from 1 species
GCGGGUAUGGUUCAGUGGUAGAACGCGACCUUCCCAAGGUUGAGAUACGGGUUCGAUUCCCGUUACCCGCUCCA